rnacentral:lncRNA from 1 species
UUUUCAUUCUCCUCCGCUCCGAUUUGUUGCAUCAAUCUAAACAAAACCUAAUAGAUGGACCGGAUGGAUAUCAUCCACUACAAAUUUAAUAAUGACUAGAUUAUAUGAAUGUUUUUGAAGAGAUUAGAUGAAUAUUGUGCUUAACGGAUGUACUAGAUUUUUAAAAGGAUUUUUAGUUGAUUGUUAAUGAAUAGUUUUUAUCCAUCAAAUUCAUCUAUUUUUCCAUCUUAAUUUUUAUGAUGUUUUUAACCUCUCUCUUCCUUUUUCUAUUUCCGUUGUUUUUUUACCAAUAAGAAUAAAGAAAAGCAAGGUUGUCAUUAAAGUUGUGAUUAAAUUGAUGUACAAAUAUCAUUGCUCUUUUUGAUUGUGUCAUCUUUGAAAGUAAUUGCCAACAUGUGGUGAAUGGUAUUCUUAAUGGUUGUGACUAUGAAAAUGAAUUGGAAA